rnacentral:snRNA from 1 species
AUGCUUACCUGGCAGAGGAGAUACCAUGAUCACAAAGGUCUUUUUCACAGGGUGAGGCUUACUCAUUGCACUCUGGAUGUGCUGACCUCUGCAAUUUCCCCCAAAAUGGAAGCUCAACUGCGUAAUUUGUGGCAGUUCCAU